UUAAAUUAAUAUAUAUUUUGGGGUUGGGGUUUUGUUGUAUUGGGAUGAUGUAAAAGUGUAGCUUUAUGGUAGGGUUGGGGUGUCUGGGAAGGGGAGCAAAAAGGGAAAUGUAUAUAAGCAUUGAGCAAGCCACGCCCACGCUUUGGGCAGAUUGGCACGUGGGAGAGUGGGAGAUGAGGUAUUGUAGGGAGGGGCUAACACAUCAUUCAUCAUUAUGCUUUCUCAUCCUCACAUACUACCCUUCAUCUUAGAGGUAGGGGCCCUUCUAUUUUGUUUAUUAAUUUUUCAUCAUGUGGCUGCCAAAUCUACCAGAUCUUUUUUUUUUUUUUUUUUUAUUUUCUUCUAAUGCCAACAUGUAAGCAAGGUGCAUGAAGAGUGGUCAAAUCUGUGUAUGGGAUGAUGAGGGAGAGAAAAAAGUCAUAACUUAAUUCACAAAACUAGCCCAUCAAACAUCUUCAACAAUUUAAUGUUCAACAAAAGUGUGAGGUAGAACAAUUAUGUGUACAGCCCCGGAACACUAUAUGUACUGCUUUAUGUUGCUUAUAAUUUCUCUUUUUUUCAUGUUCAUUUGAAGAAACAAAGUCUAGCCAAUUAUUAUUUAUAAUCU
rnacentral:lncRNA from 1 species